CUUAACACCUGUUCCUUUCUUCUUCUUGAAGAAUUUGCUGAAGUUUUUGGUUAUGAAGGCAACUUGCUCCUUAUCAAGCUCAAUUUCUUCAUCACUAUCAGAAGCCUUUAAUGCCAAGACUUUCUUAGGAGGUGCUUGUUCUUUGGUUCUAUCAACUUCCAUCUCAUAAGUUCUAAGGUUUCCAACUAAUUCAUCCAAGGUCAUUC
rnacentral:lncRNA from 1 species